rnacentral:rRNA from 1 species
UAAGCGGAGGAAAAGAAACCAACAGGGAUUCCCUUAGUAACGGCGAGCGAACAGGGAAGAGCUCAAAUUUGAAAUCUGGCGUCCUCAGGGCGUCCGAGUUGUAAUCUGCAGAGGCGUCUUCCGCGCCGGUCCGCGUCCAAGUCCCUUGGAACAGGGUAUCAAAGAGGGUGACAAUCCCGUGCUUGACGCGACCGCCGGUGCUAUGUGAUACGUCCUCAAAGAGUCGAGUUGUUUGGGAAUGCAGCUCAAAACGGGUGGUAAAUUCCAUCUAAGGCUAAAUAUUGGCGAGAGACCGAUAGCGAACAAGUACCGUGAGGGAAAGAUGAAAAGCACUUUGGAAAGAGAGUUAAACAGUACGUGAAAUUGUUGAAAGGGAAACGAUUGAAGUCAGUCGUGUCCGAGGGGUUCAGCCGGUCCCGCCGGUGCACUCCCCUCGGACGGGUCAACAUCGGUUCCGACCGACGGAUAAGGGAGGGGGGAACGUGGCACUUCGGGUGUGUUAUAGCCCCCCGUCGCAUACGUCGGACGGGACCGAGGAACGCAGCUCGCCCUCACGGGCCGGGGUUCGCCCACGUCCGAGCUUAGGAUGUUGACAAAAUGGCUUUAAACGACCCGUCUUGAAACACG